rnacentral:rRNA from 1 species
AGUGAACGCUGGCGGUAGGCCUAACACAUGCAAGUCGAACGGCAGCACAGUAAGAGCUUGCUCUUACGGGUGGCGAGUGGCGGACGGGUGAGGAAUACAUCGGAAUCUACUUUUUCGUGGGGGAUAACGUAGGGAAACUUACGCUAAUACCGCAUACGACCUACGGGUGAAAGCAGGGGAUCUUCGGACCUUGCGCGAUUGAAUGAGCCGAUGUCGGAUUAGCUAGUUGGCGGGGUAAAGGCCCACCAAGGCGACGAUCCGUAGCUGGUCUGAGAGGAUGAUCAGCCACACUCGAACUGAGACACGGUCCAGACCCCUACGGGAGGCAGCAGUGGGGAAUAUUGGACAGUGGGCGCAAGCCUGAUCCAGCCAUACCGCGUGGGUGAAGAAGGCCUUCGGGUUGUAAAGCCCUUUUGUUGGGAAAGAAAAGCAGCAGGUUAAUACCCCGCUGUUCUGACGGUACCCAAAGAAUAAGCACCGGCUAACUUCGU